rnacentral:rRNA from 1 species
UACGGGGGGAGCAAGCGUUGUUCGGAUUUACUGGGCGUAAAGGGCGCGUAGGCGGCCACCGCAAGUCAGUUGUGAAAUCUCUGGGCUUAACCCAGAAAGGUCAACUGAUACUGCGGGGCUAGAGUGCAGAAGGGGCAACUGGAAUUCUCGGUGUAGCGGUGAAAUGCGUAGAUAUCAAGAGGAACACCUGAGGUGAAGACGGGUUGCUGGGCCGACACUGACGCUGAUGCGCGAAAGCCAGGGGAGCAAACGGG